rnacentral:rRNA from 1 species
ACCCCAAACCGACACAGGUGGUCAGGUAGAGAAUACCAAGGCGCUUGAGAGAACUCGGGUGAAGGAACUAGGCAAAAUGGUGCCGUAACUUCGGGAGAAGGCACGCUGAUAUGUAGGUGAGGUCCCUUGCGGAUGGAGCUGAAAUCAGUCGAAGAUACCAGCUGGCUGCAACUGUUUAUUAAAAACACAGCACUGUGCAAACACGAAAGUGGACGUAUACGGUGUGACGCCUGCCCGGUGCCGGAAGGUUAAUUG